ensembl:lncRNA
CUCUGUGUCUCUGUGUGUGGGGUUAAAGGGUUGUCUCUAUGUCUCUGUGUGUGGGGUUAAAGGGUUGUCUCUAUGUCUCUGUGUGUGGGGUUAAAGGGUUGUCUCUAUGUCUCUGUGUGUGGGGUUAAAGGGUGGUCUCUAUGUCUCUGUGUGGGGGUUAAAGGCUGGUCUCUAUGUCUCUGUGUGUGGGGUUAAAGGGUGGUCUCUAUGUCUCUGUGUGUGGGGUUAAAGGGUGGUCUCUAUGUCUCUGUGUGGGGGUUAAAGGGUUGUCUCUAUGUCUCUGUGUGUGGGGUUAAAGGGUUGUCUCUAUGUCUCUGUGUGUGGGGGUUAAAGGGUGGUCUCUAUGUCUCUGUGUGUGGGGUUAAAGGGUGGUCUCUAUGUCUCUGUGUGUGUGGGUUAAAGGGUGGUCUCUAUGUCUCUGUGUGUGGGGUUAAAGGGUUGUCUCUAUGUCUCUGUGUGUGGGGGAGUUAAAGGGUUGUCUCUAUGUCUCUGUGUGUGGGGUUAAAGGGUUGUCUCUAUGUCUCUGUGUGU